rnacentral:miRNA from 1 species
AAGAGGAGGGAAGGAGAGGAUGGGAGGGAAGGGUAACAAAAGUGAAAACAAUUUCAAAUAGAUUUCGGUUUUUGUUUUCACUUGUGUUACUCCUCCCUCCCAUACUCCCUUCCCAAUUCCAUCU